UACGGAGGGUGCAAGCGUUAUCCGGAUUCACUGGGUUUAAAGGGUGCGUAGGCGGAUAGGUAAGUCCGUGGUGAAAUCCUGCAGCUUAACUGCAGAACUGCCAUGGAUACUAUCUAUCUUGAAUGUCGUGGAGGUUAGCGGAAUAUGUCAUGUAGCGGUGAAAUGCUUAGAUAUGACAUAGAACACCCAUUGCGAAGGCAGCUAACUACGCGAUAAUUGACGCUGAUGCACGAAAGCGUGGGGAUCAAACAGGA
rnacentral:rRNA from 1 species